CAAGGUUCUUUGAAGGCCCUGGGAGCCAGGGUAAAAACCCAAAGUACUCUGUGACAGACCUUGACAAUGAAAACUUCAGAACUGUUGGUGAGGUAAUAGCAGUGAGCCUAGCUCAAGGUGGCCCACCCCCUGCUUUUUUCAAAGAAUGGUGUUACAACUUCCUUUGCAAUGGUGAGGUGGAUUUGAGGACACUUUCUCAAGAGGAUGUUACGGAUCUAGAAUCCUGCCAGCUUAUCAACAAUGUUGAAAACUCAACAGAUCCUGAGUCUCUGAUGGUUUUGAUCGAUGACAUUGUAAACUGUGGUUACUCAAGCCAGAUCAAGCUGGACAACAAAAAAAGCAUAAUUCGAGCGGUAGUGCUGCAUUCCACCACGAGAUUAAUUCCAAUGCUGCAGCAGGUGCGAAAGGGGCUGGAGCUGUAUGGUCUGUUGGACCAGAUGGCUGCCCACCCAGAAGCUUGCUAUUCACUCUUUGUACCUGGGAAAAUUGAAAAGCCUGAUGCUGAUUUCAUAAUGAUGCACUGCAAGGCAGAAUACAGUGAGAAGGGAACUGCUGGAGAAAGGGCAGAGAGGAGGAUAAUGGCCUUUUUCCAAGACUUUUUGGAGGAAUUGGAGAUGUCAGAUGUGAAAGAAGAAGAGGUUCUAACAGUGGAGCAUGUGUUGAAGUCGAUAACUGGUCAAGCCCACAUCCCUAUCCUCCCAGAUGAGAAGAGACAUUUCAAGAUUACUGUGAAGUUCAACCAUGAAUGCAUUGAGCAACUAGGACCACACUCCGUGUGUUACCCAACUGUGAGCGCAUGUUCUCAAACAGUGACCUUCCCAAUACAGCAUCUGGACACUCUCAAUGAUUUUACAAGAAUCAUGAGUGAAGCUGUUCGCUAUGGUGGUGGAUUUCACAGAGUCUAACAACCAGUUGUUUUUCAUUUUCUUAAAAGGGCCACUUCACCAGUCAUGUUUUUGAAUGGGAGUGUGUGAGUGGAGUGAGUGGAGUGAGUGGAGUG